UCGGAAUCGUGCGGGGUAGCGUAAUCAUUUGUCCUCUAAAUAAGGACCAGUAUGAACGGCUAAAUGAGGGCCAACCUGUCUCCCCUAACCUAUCAGUGAAACUGAUCUACCAGUACAAAAGCUGGUAUAAUACUAUAAGACGAGAAGACCCUGUGGAGCUUUAAAUUAAAAUAACGGUAACUUACAAACCCCCGUCACUGACCCUAAAUUUUAGUUGGGGCGACUUCGGAACAAAACCAAACUUCCGAGCAAAGACCUAAAUCUUAAAAAGACCAACAAGUCUCAAAGACCCAGUAAAACUGAUAAACGAACCAAGUUACCCCAGGGAUAACAGCGCAAUCUUCUUCAAGAGUCCAUAUCGACAAGAAGGUUUACGACCUCGAUGUUGGAUCAGGACACCCAAUUGGUGCAGCCGCUAUUAAAGGUUCGUUUGUUCAACGAUUAACAGUCCUACGUGAUCUGAG
rnacentral:rRNA from 1 species